UACGAAGGGAGCUAGCGUUACUCGGAAUAACUGGGCGUAAAGCGUAUGUAGGCUGAACCGCAAGUCAGGGGUGAAAUCCCGGGGCUCAACCCCGGAAUUGCCUUUGAAACUGCAGUUCUUGAGUAUGACAGAGGAUGGUGGAAUUUCUAGUGUAGAGGUGAAAUUCGUAGAUAUUAGAAAGAACACCGGUGGCGAAGGCGACCAUCUGGGUCAUAACUGACGCUGAGAUACGAAAGCGUGGGGAGCAAACAGG
rnacentral:rRNA from 1 species